rnacentral:tRNA from 1 species
GGUUGUGGCUCAGUGGUAGAGCACUUGCUUCACACAUGUGAGGUACUGGGUUCAAUUCUCAGCACCA